GGUGUGCCCAGGUGUGCCGAGGUGUGUCUAUGAGUGCCCAGGUGUAUCUAUGUGUACCUAUCCAUGCCCAGGUGUGCUCACCGUUGAGGUAGGGGUGGUUGCAGCACUUGCGCAGCUCCAUCAUGGUGUUGAGCAGGUGUGCCCAGGUGUCUAUGUGUGCCCAGGUGUGCCUAUGUGUACCCAGGUGUGCCCAAGUGUGCCCAGGUGUAUCUAUCAGUACCCAGGUGCGCCCAGGUGUGCUCACCGUUGAUGAGGUAGGGGUGGUUGCAGCACUUGCGCAGCUCCAUCAUGGUGUUGAGCAGGUUGGGCACGUUGCCGUGCCCCGCCCCCCGGGCCAGGUAGGCGAAGUUGCGCUCCAGGAUGGCGCGGUACAGGCGCUUCUGCGCGUUGGUCAGCUCCACCUCGAUGAUGGUCUCCUGCUUGGGCGCCAGGUUCUUCUCCACGUCCUCCUUGAGGCGCCGCAGCAUCAUGGGCUUCAGCAGCGCCUGCAGCUUCUGCACCUGCACAGGUACAGCACAGGUGAGACAGGUGAGACAGGUAAGGGAAAUAACCCCAGGCUUCAGCAGCGCCUGCAGCUUCUGCACCUGCGACAGGUAAGGGACAGGUGAAACAGGUAAAAAAAAAAGCUUCUGCACCUAUACAGGUAAAUACAACAGGUGAGACAGGUGAGAUAAACAGCCAUGGGCUUCAGCAGCACCUGCAGCUUCUGCACCUGCGACAAGUAGGGAACAGGUAAGACAGGUAAAUUAAACAGGUGAGAUAAACAGCCAUGGGAUUCAGCAACAUCUGCAGCUUCUGCACCUGAGACAGGUGAGACAGGUAAAUUAAGCAGGUGAGACAAGUGAGACAGUGAAACAAGUAAGGAACACGCGAGACAAGUAAAUAAAACACGUGAGACAACUGACACAGGUAAAUAAAACAGGUUAGACAGGUAAGGAACAAAUGAGACAGAUAAAUAACGCAGGUGAGAUAAACAACCGUGGGCUUCAGCAGCACCUGCAGCUUCUGCACCUGCACA
rnacentral:lncRNA from 14 species